UACGAAGGGUGCAAACGUUGCUCGGAAUUAUUGGGCGUAAAGCGCACGUAGGCGGCUUUGCAAGUCGGAUGUGAAAUCCCUCGGCUUAACCAGGGAAGUGCAUCCGAAACUGCAGAGCUUGAGUACUUAAGAGGAUCGCGGAAUUCCCGGUGUAGAGGUGAAAUUCGUAGAUAUCGGGAGGAACACCAGUGGCGAAGGCGGCGAUCUGGGAAGAUACUGACGCUGAGGUGCGAAAGCGUGGGGAGCAAACAGG
rnacentral:rRNA from 1 species